CCUACGGGAGGCAGCAGUGAGGAAUCUUCCACAAUGGGCGAAAGCCUGAUGGAGCAACGCCGCGUGAAGGAUGAAGGCCCUCGGGUUGUAAACUUCUUUUAUGAGUGAAGAAUAUGACGGUAACUCAUGAAUAAGCACCGGCUAACUACGUGCCAGCAGCCGCGGUAAU
rnacentral:rRNA from 1 species